rnacentral:rRNA from 1 species
UGGGGAAUUUUGGACAAUGGGCGCAAGCCUGAUCCAGCAAUGCCGCGUGCAGGAUGAAGGCCUUCGGGUUGUAAACUGCUUUUGUACGGAACGAAAAGCCUCUCUCUAAUACAGGGGGGUGAUGACGGUACCGUAAGAAUAAGCACCGGCUAACUACGUGCCAGCAGCCGCGGUAAAUACGUAGGGUGCAAGCGUUAAUCGGAAUACUGGGCGUAAAGCGUGCGCAGCGGUUUUGUAAGACAGUGGUGAAAUCCCCGGGCUCAACCUGGGAACUGCCAUUGUGACUGCAAGGCUGGAGUGCGGCAGAGGGGGAUGGAAUUCCGCGUGUAGCAGUGAAAUGCGUAGAUAUGCGGAGGAACACCGAGGCGAAGGCAAUCCCCUGGGCCUGCGCUGACGCUCAUGCACGAAAAGCGUGGGGAGCAAAACAGGAUUAGAAUACCCUGGUAGUCCACGCCCUAAAACGAUGUCAAACNGGUUGUUGGGGAUUUAUUUCUUCAGUAACGAAGCU